UCGUGGGUGACUGCGAAUCUGGAAGAAGCCGCAAGCAAAACACUGGCCUGACGAACAGGAAUUGGAUUAGGCGGUGUUAUUCAAUUUCUAAACCGAAAAUUUAAUCAUCCAGUAGGGGCACGGCAUGCCGU
rfam:Deltaproteobacteria bacterium RIFOXYD12_FTLL_50_9 rifoxyd3_full_scaffold_4573, whole genome shotgun sequence.